CUUGUUCAUCAGCAUCCAGCCAGUCAGAGGUAUCAAGAUGAUCUCACAGGCUCCACUCAUCUGGCUCUUAGUACUCUGGAUCCAGGAUGCCAGUGGGCAGAUUGUGAUGACUCAGACUCCAGAAUCCCUGGCAGUGUCUCCAGGAGAGAAAGUCACCAUCAACUGCAAAGCCAGUUCAAGCCUUACUUACCAAGGCAAGGAAUACUUAGCCUGGUACCAGGAGAA